GAUGAACGCUAGCGGGAGGCCUAACACAUGCAAGCCGAGCGGUAUAAUUCUUUCGGGAAUUAGAGAGCGGCGCGCGGGUGCGGAACACGUGUGCAACCUGCCUUUAUCUGGGGGAUAGCCUUCCGAAAGGGAGAUUAAUACCCCAUAAUACAUUGACUGGCAUCAGUUAAUAUUGAAAACUCCGGUGGAUAGAGAUGGGCACGCGCAAGAUUAGAUAGUUGGUGAGGUAACGGCUCACCAAGUCAGUGAUCUUUAGGGGGCCUGAGAGGGUGAUCCCCCACACUGGUACUGAGACACGGACCAGACUCCUACGGGAGGCAGCAGUGAGGAAUAUUGGACAAUGGGUGAGAGCCUGAUCCAGCCAUCCCGCGUGAAGGACGACGGCCCUAUGGGUUGUAAACUUCUUUUGUACAGGGAUAAACCUAGAUACGUGUAUCUAGCUGAAGGUACUGUACGAAUAAGCACCGGCUAACUCCGUGCCAGCCGCCGCGGUAAUAC
rnacentral:rRNA from 1 species